rnacentral:rRNA from 1 species
GACGAACGCUGGCGGCGUGCUUAACACAUGCAAGUCGAACGGAAAGGCCCUGCUUGCAGGGUACUCGAGUGGCGAACGGGUGAGUAACACGUGGGUGAUCUGCCCUGCACUUCGGGAUAAGCCUGGGAAACUGGGUCUAAUACCGGAUAGGAGCCAUUUUUAGUGUGAUGGUUGGAAAGUUUUUUCGGUGUAGGAUGAGCUCGCGGCCUAUCAGCUUGUUGGUGGGGUAAUGGCCUACCAAGGCGGCGACGGGUAGCCGGCCUGAGAGGGUGGACGGCCACAUUGGGACUGAGAUACGGCCCAGACGCCUACGGGAGGCAGCAGUGGGGAAUAUUGAACAAUGGGCGCAAGCCUGAUGCAGCGACGCCGCGUGGGGGAUGACGGCCUUCGGGUUGUAAACUCCUUUCGCUAGGGACGAAGCUUUUUGUGACGGUACCUAGAGAAGAAGCACCGGCUAACUACGUG